rnacentral:rRNA from 1 species
CGGACGGGUGAGUAACACGUAGUUGACCUGCCCAAUAGUGGGGAAUAACUGCCCGAAAGGGUAGCUAAUACCGCAUAAGCUCACUCUCGUUGGGGAGUGAGGAAAGCCUGGGUAACCGGGCGCUAAUGGAGGGGACUGCGGCGGAUUAGCUAGAUGGUGGGGUAACGGCCUACCAUGGCGACGAUCCGUAGCUGGUCUGAGAGGACGACCAGCCACACUGGGACUGAGACACGGCCCAG